AUCAGCACAAUACAAAAAGAUUAAUGUUAGAAAUAUUCCAGUUAAGACUCUAGAAUAUCAUGAUUUAUGUAAAUUUACCUCAAUAAUAUGAAUGUUCAGGUUAAGAUUGUGCAGUGAUAUUUAUAAUGUAAGUUUAGCUGAUUAAAGUUUAUGACUCUGCACUAAAAUAUUAUUUAAAUUGACAUCAUUAUUAUAAUAUUUAGGGUCAGACCCUACAGUAUUGAGAUUAAGAAAUCAAAUAUUCUAUAAAAUGUAAAUACACUGAACUCAUUUGGAUAUAUUUAAGUGAGACUCUACAAUAUUAUUUGACAAAUCUAUCUAAAUCAAAAUUUUAAUCAUUUUUACUCGAAACAUUUACUGAUCUGAUUUAAAUAUUAAAAUCACUCCUUUCUAAUCCUCUGCUGUACAUUCAAACCUGAGGCCUUAAAUAGAAACACACAAGUAUCUGAUUGAAGGAACUUCUGCAGAGUCCUGGUUCCAGAACAUGAUGAUAGAAUUAUAGACAAACUUUAACAAAAGCUGCCUGAGAGUUUACAGGUUUUUAUGUUGGAUUUCUUCAGUAAUUUAAUGAGAGUUAUCGGCAAAAAUCAAGUGUUCAUUUGAUGAACUUCAUUUCCUGAAACAUCCAGAAUUGGAGCUCAUAUCUUUGGCAGCUGUAAAGUUUCUGCUCCUUCAAAGUUCACAACACAAUGAAUUAAUUCCUAAAACCCUCUCAAUGCUGGAGAGCGUUUGUGACGCUGAAGCAGUGAUCAGUUUUUCUGUUUCUUCUCUGGAGCUGCACAAUGAGGGACGUCUGCAGCGACUGAGAAAGAGUCUCACCACAUCCUGACAUGAGGAAAAAGACUUUAUUGAAGACUAUAAUGAGGAAAACUAUCAGACAGCAGAUGGCUGCAUUCAAGGAGCUGUUACUGGUGGCGAUGGUGGCAAGGUGGACCCAGCGCUGAUUGGCUGUUCACCAUUUUUAAUCUUGGCGGCUGGCAGUGAUGGAGGAGACUGACAGCAGCACCCUUUGUUUUCCCAGACUCCAACCUUUUGCUUGAUACCCGUUUUUCUUCUUAGAUUAAGAUAGUGUGGUUUUUGUUUGUUAGACUUAGGUUUCUUUUUGUAGUAGUUGUGGUUUUGUUGGAUAGGAUCUUUCGUUUGAGUGCUAAAAUGCCUCUUUAGUUUGUAUCCAGUUCUUUUGUUGCUUGAAUGAAUAACCCAUGUGGUGGCCUGUUUUAUUUGUAAAAUAUUGUAAAUAAAUCUUUUGUAUUUUUUCUAAGAACCUGUUCAUUGUUUUUUGGGGACUGGGAAAAUAUUCCACCUUUUUUUUUUUUUUUUCAACAAACAUUAUGCUAUGCACCUUCCCCCUAGACGGGUGCAUAACAAUGACGUUUGAGAUUUAUGCUGUCCAGACUAAAUGACAGAAAUCCACAACUGUAAUUUUAUUUCAGGACUCGGUUAUUAAAUGUCAAAACAAUCCAUGUGACUCUAAAAACUCAACAGCUUUACAGACGCUAAGAUUAAACUGUCCACAAGGAUCCAAAAUAAGUUGGACUUCUACAUGAGAGCUUUAAUUAUUCUUCAUCAACUUCCUGAAAAGUUUGGUCAAUAAAAAAGACAAAAACUAAUAUUUUCAGCUGAACUAAAGACAGACUUUGUGAUUUUUCUGCUCACAUGUUGUGUUGUAAACUUCCUCUUUCAAAUAAAUAUCCUCCUAACCCCC
ensembl:lncRNA